rnacentral:rRNA from 1 species
UGGGGAAUAUUGGACAAUGGGCGAAAGCCUGAUCCAGCCAUGCCGCGUGUGUGAAGAAGGUCUUCGGAUUGUAAAGCACUUUAAGUUGGGAGGAAGGGCAGUAAGCGAAUACCUUGCUGUUUUGACGUUACCGACAGAAUAAGCACCGGCUAAUUCUGUGCCAGCAGCCGCGGUAAUACAGAGGGUGCAAGCGUUAAUCGGAUUUACUGGGCGUAAAGCGCGCGUAGGUGGUUCGUUAAGUUGAAUGUGAAAGCCCCGGGCUCAACCUGGGAACUGCAUCCAAAACUGGCGAGCUAGAGUAGGGCAGAGGGUGGUGGAAUUUCCUGUGUAGCGGUGAAAUGCGUAGAUAUAGGAAGGAACACCAGUUGCGAAGGCGACCACCUGGGCUCAUACUGACACUGAGGUGCGAAAGCGUGGGGAGCAAACAGG